rnacentral:ncRNA from 2 species
AAAAUAAACUAGGGGUGCCUAACUUCAAGGCUGAGAUUAUACCCUUUAACCUGAACAGGAUAAUGCCUGCGUAGGAAAGUAAAGUGAGAAUCAA